GGAUUAGAUACCCUGGUAGUCCACGCCGUAAACGAUGUCUACUCGGAGUUUGGUGUCUUGAACACUGGGCUCUCAAGCUAACGCAUUAAGUAGACCGCCUGGGGAGUACGGCCGCAAGGUUAAAACUCAAAUGAAUUGACGGGGGCCCGCACAAGCGGUGGAGCAUGUGGUUUAAUUCGAUGCAACGCGAAGAACCUUACCUACUCUUGACAUCCACAGAACUUUCCAGAGAUGGAUUGGUGCCUUCGGGAACUGUGAGACAGGUGCUGCAUGGCUGUCGUCAGCUCGUGCCG
rnacentral:rRNA from 1 species